AGAGUAAUGGUUCAUACCAGUAUAUUGACCCAGAUUAAAGGUUCAUGCCAGUAUAUUGACCCAGAGUAAAGGUUCAUACCAUUAUAUUGACCCAGAAAAAAGGUUCAUACCAUUAUAUUGACCAAGAGUAAAGGUUCAUACCAUUAUAUUGACCCAGAAAAAAGGUUCAUGCCAGUAUAUUGACCCAGAGUAAAGGUUCAUACCAUUAUAUUGACCCAGAGUAAAGGUUCAUACCAUUAUAUUGACCCAGAGUAAAGGUUCAUACCAGUAUAUUGACCCAGAGUAAAGGUUCAUACCAGUAUAUUGACCCAGAGUAAAGGUUCAUACCAUUAUAUUGACCCAGAGUAAAGGUUCAUACCAGUAUAUUGACCCAGAGUAAAGGUUCAUACCAUUAUAUUGACCAAGAGUAAAGGUUCAGACCAGGAUGUUGACCCAGAGUAAAGGUUCAGGACAGAAAGCCUAUAGCAACAGCAUAGCUCUUUCUUUGUAUCUCUCUACCAUCUCUCUCAGUAUAUGUAUUUAUAUCACUGAUGUAUCUUUGUCUUGUUACCCCUCCAUCUUUCUUCCUGAAACUAUCUUUUCUCUUUCUUCCACAAAGAUUAAUCUACCUUGUCUGAUUGGUAACCUGAACAGGAAGGUUGUGUGGAGAGACUCCGUCAUGAUGAGUUGAUCAUCCCUGAUCAGAGAAAGGCCGUUAGUUCACUCUGCUCUCUGUGGGAAUGUGCUAACAUACACCGCCUGUGUCCAGCUCAGCCCACCCACUCCUUACCGUCAGACUGUCCUUCUCUCUUUUUCUCUGUAUUUUUCACUGUUCCUGUCUUUUUCUUCACAUGCCAUACUUUCCCUCUCACUUCCUCUUUUAAAUCCAUCUCUGUCUACCAACUGUAAACCAUUAAACAGCCCCUCCUUCCUCUCCCAUAUCUAUCUUCACUCCACUAUUAAGGCAUUCUCUCUCUGUCCUAAUCCUGUGAACAACAUUUUUAUUCCUGGAUACUGGAUGUUGUAUGAGAUCAAGGGCCCCUAUAGCCUCAUAGGUUCUCAUAGAUCAAGGGCCCCUAUAGCCUCAUAGGUUCUCAUAGAUCAGUGGCCCCUAUAGCCUCAUAGGUUCUCAUAGAUCAAGGGCCCCUAGAGCCUCAUAGGUUCUCAUAGAUCAAGGCCUCCAGAAGAGCAGCUUAGGAUACCCUCAUAUCUCUCCCACCCUCCAUCAUUUACUCUCUCCCUCCAUUCUUUACAUCCAUAAUUACUCCCUCUCCCUCUCUCUCGCUUCCUCCCUCUCCCUCUCUCUCUCUUGCUCUCUCUUGCUCUCUCCCCCUCCCUCUCCGUCUCUCUCUCUCUCUCUCGCUCUC
rnacentral:lncRNA from 1 species